GAAACUCGCCUGCAUGAAGUCGGAAUUGCUAGUAAUCGCGGAUCAGCAUGCCGCGGUGAAUACGUUCCCGGGCCCUUGUACACACCGCCCGUCACACCAUGAGAGCCGGUAACACCCGAAGUCAAUAGCCUAACCGCAAGGAGGGCAUUGCCGAAGGUGGGAUUGGUAAUUGGGGUGAAGUCGUAACAAGGUAGC
rnacentral:rRNA from 1 species